rnacentral:rRNA from 1 species
AUACGUAGGGGGCAAGCGUUGUCCGGAAUUAUUGGGCGUAAAGCGCGCGCAGGCGGUCUGUUAAGUCUUGUGUUUAAGCCCGGGGCUCAACCCCGGUUCGCAUGGGAAACUGGCUGUACUUGAGUGCAGGAGAGGAAAGCGGAAUUCCACGUGUAGCGGUGAAAUGCGUAGAGAUGUGGAGGAACACCAGUGGCGAAGGCGGCUUUCUGGACUGUAACUGACGCUGAGGCGCGAAAGCGUGGGGAGCAAACAGGAUUAGAUACCCUGGUAGUCCACGCCGUAAACGAUGAGUGCUAGGUGUCGGGGGUUUCGAUACCCGCGGUGCCGAAGUUAACGCAAUAAGCACUCCGCCUGGGGAGUACGCUCGCAAGAGUGAA